UACGGAGGGUGCAAGCGUUAUCCGGAUUCACUGGGUUUAAAGGGUGCGUAGGUGGAUUAGUAAGUCAGUGGUGAAAUCUCCGGGCUUAACCCGGAAACUGCCAUUGAUACUAUUAGUCUUGAAUACCGUGGAGGUCAGCGGAAUAUGUCAUGUAGCGGUGAAAUGCUUAGAUAUGACAUAGAAUACCUAUUGCGAAGGCAGCUUACUACACAGAUAUUGACGCUCAUGCACGAAAGCGUGGGGAUCAAACAGG
rnacentral:rRNA from 1 species